ACUCUAAUAGUUUAUAAAAACAUCGGCCUUGUAAACCGAAGAUUGAAGAUUUAUUAGUCUUCUUAGAGUU
rnacentral:tRNA from 1 species